GACUGUCUUUAGAAAGUUUCCACAAGUGCAGUCGCUGGCGUCGAGUGGGAGCAACAUUAUGUGGCCUCUCGUCUUUCUGCUCUGCUUCAUUCAAGGUUUUGGUGUUCAAGGGGUCCAAUGGACGAUUUUAACUUGUACAAUGGAGGAGCAUAACGCGGGAUCAGACUCCGGUAUCUUUAUUACUCUCCAUGGAAGUCACGGAUCUUCCGCAGAAAUGGAAAUAGACAAUGAUGAAAACAACUUUGAGAGAGGUAGUUUUGAUCAGUUCGUGGUUACAACGGACGACAUUGGUGAAGUGUGCUCAGUGCACAUCAGGUCUGACGGUAGUGGCGAUCGUUACGACUGGCAUCUCAGUUGGUUUUGGGUUUUUGGACCUUCAGAGCACUUUUUUAUGUGCGACUGUUGGUUAGAUAGACGAGACGGAUUAAGCAGGGAUCUCCAACCUGAAGUCCCAUGCUCCCGACAGAAGAAAUAAGUAAACUGAAGUAGGCGCAGACUUUGAAUCCGGCACAGACCAACCAGCAUAAAGAGUUUAUUCACCUGAUGGAACACCUUGGUCAUCGGCUAAAUGGAAUUCUAAGAAAUAUCUGUCAAUGUCUACUGUCACUUUGACUGUGUCAUGGCACACAACCCUGCUAAUGUUUUGCUUACACUUGAAAAUCUGUAGAAUAUUGCAACAAAAGUGAACAAAAUUAUGACAGUUUAUCUUACAUCCCUUAAGGCACUGCAAUGUGGCGAUAAAAGCAUAUUUAAUUUGAGUCAGUAAUAGUAAGGUCUUUUACCCAACAAA